GGUGAAACUGCGGGAAAUAUUUAGUGAGCAUAUAUGUUAGUAUGUUAUAUAACAUAUAGAUUAUGUUAUGUAAUAAAGAAGUGGAAGAAAAUAAAUCGUUUUGUUAUAUCGAUUCGAAAAUGUUACGACAGACGCGUGUAAAAGAAAAUGGCCGAGAGUAACGGUUUCAAAAAUGAAUGAGUAAAAGAACUCUUUUUAUAAAAUGUUGUUUGAAAUUCUAGUAGCUUUGGCCUGUAUUUUAAUAUCACCGGUGGUGCAGCAUUACAUUGGGAAUCUUGAUGACUGUACUCUAUCGAAGACUUGCAACCACACGUUUGUUUCUCUCUGUGGUCACAACGAUGCCGAUAAAACUUAUCGAAUGUUCUUGGAUAAAUGUGACAUGAAUGAAUACAAUUGCAUGAAU